rnacentral:rRNA from 1 species
UACGAAGGGGGGCUAGCGUUGUUCGGAAUCACUGGGCGUAAAGGGCGCGUAGGUGGUCUGAUAAGGGUGUGGUGAAAGCCCGGGGCUCAACCCCCGGGUCGGCCGUGCCGACUGUUAGACUAGAGUGCUGUAGGGGCAGGCGGAAUUCCGGGUGUAGCGGUGGAAUGCGUAGAGAUCUGGAGGAACACCGGUGGCGAAGGCGGCAUCCUGGACCGAGAUUGACGCUGAUGAGCGAAAGCUAGGGGAGCAAACGGG